CCUACGCGAGGCUGCAGUGGGGAAUAUUGCACAAUGGGCGCAAGCCUGAUGCAGCCAUGCCGCGUGUGUGAAGAAGGCCUUCGGGUUGUAAAGCACUUUCAGCGGGGAGGAAGGCGUUAAGGUUAAUAACCUUGGCGAUUGACGUUACCCGCAGAAGAAGCACCGGCUAACUCCGUGCCAGCAGCCGCGGUAAUACGGAGGGUGCAAGCGUUAAUCGGAAUUACUGGGCGUAAAGCGCACGCAGGCGGUCUGUCAAGUCUGAUGUGAAAUCCCCGGGCUCAACCUGGGAACUGCAUUCGAAACUGGCAGGCGAGAGUCUUGUAGAGGGGGGUAGAUGUCCAGGUGUAGCGGUGAAAUGCGUAGAGAUCUGGAGGAAUACCGGUGGCGAAGGCGGCCCCCUGGACAAAGACUGACGCUCAGGUGCGAAAGCGUGGGGAGCAAACAGGAUUAGAUACCCCAGUAGUC
rnacentral:rRNA from 1 species